rnacentral:ncRNA from 1 species
CAAGCACAUCGAGAGCGGACUAAAUUCCCACCAACCCGCAUACUCAAGCAAGGUGGUUCAGCAUGUGGCCAAAUGGCAAUCAACUGGGUAUCU